GCUUUGGUAAUCUAGCUUUAUGA
rnacentral:miRNA from 2 species